AGCUGGUCUGAUGGUAGUGGGUUUCAGAACUUAAUAACAUUAGUGUCACUAAAGUUGGUAUUCAACCCCCCACUACUAAAUUUGACUGGCUUAAA
rnacentral:Y_RNA from 1 species